UUGAACGCUGGCGGAAUGCUUUACACAUGCAAGUCGAACGGUAGCACGGGGGCAACCCUGGUGGCGAGUGGCGAACGGGUGAGUAAUGUAUCGGAACGUACCCAGUCGUGGGGGAUAACUAUCCGAAAGGAUAGCUAAUACCGCAUACGUCCUGAGGGAGAAAGCGGGGGAUCGCAAGACCUCGCGCGAUUGGAGCGGCCGAUAUCGGAUUAGCUAGUUGGUGAGGUAAAGGCUCACCAAGGCGACGAUCCGUAGCGGGUCUGAGAGGACGACCCGCCACACUGGAACUGAGACACGGUCCAGACUCCUACGGGAGGCAGCAGUGGGGAAUUUUGGACAAUGGGGGCAACCCUGAUCCAGCCAUGCCGCGUGAGUGAAGAAGGCCUUCGGGUUGUAAAGCUCUUUCGGCCGGAACGAAAUCGCGUACGUGAAUAACGUGCGUGGAUGACGGUACUGGAAGAAGAAGCACCGGCUAACUACGU
rnacentral:rRNA from 1 species